rnacentral:rRNA from 1 species
GAUGAACGCUGGCUACAGGCUUAACACAUGCAAGUCGUGGGGCAGCAUGAAGGAAGCUUGCUUCCUUUGAUGACGACCGGCGCACGGGUGAGUAACGCGUAUCCAACCUGCCCAUGGGUCAGGAAUAACCUUCCGAAAGGGAGCCUAAUACCUGAUGUUGUGAGAAGAAGGCCUCUGAUUUUCACGAAAGACUUCGGUCGCCGAUGGAUGGGGAUGCGUACGAUUAGGCAGCAGGCGGGGUAACGGCCCACCUGGCCUACGAUCGUUAGGGGUUCUGAGAGGAAGGUCCCCCACACUGGUACUGAGACACGGACCAGACUCC